UCAGUCACAAUAAGCUAGGUGCAAGGUUAUUGAUUUGUUUUCUGUGUGAGGAUAUGUUUUAAUGUUUUAUAUAAAAGGUGAAGCAGAGAUCUAUUGAUAAAUAAUUUAAAAAAAUCUCAUUAUACCGAGUUUUAGUUCGUCACAUGUCGAACUUUGGUUAUUGAACUUAGUAUUUAAUGGAAAAAUAUGUGCAUGUUUGAAGUACUCAAUUGUAGAAUUGUCAAUUAACAUAUCUUCUGUGAAACAUGUCAAGAGGUUUACGUGGACCCUUGCGCGAUGUCCCGAAUGAAACAGGGUUAGCGUCGGAUCCAUUAACCGUUCAUGUGAAGAAUGUGCCAGACGUCUAUAUAUCGGAAGAAAGUUUGGAAAUGCUGUUUGAAAGUAAAACUUUCAAUCACGUCCCGUCUGUGAAAAAGGUGGUUCUGUUAGGAAAUAACGAGGCGACGGUGACAUUUGACUACCCGGAUGAUAAAGGCGUGGGAUGUGAAGAGUCCAGGAACUAAAUACCCAGUACUAAGAAAAGAUCUGCGAAGCGGUAAGGGUGUAUAAGUUGUUUAAAAUAAGCUCCGAUAAUGUAAACGUUACCUUAAGUGCGCAUGAAUUGUUGUGUCAAUUUAACUAUAGAUAAAAAUCACUCGGAACUAGCCCGGAUCCUAUUUUAUCUAUCUGGAGUGUAUUAUGAUCUUCGUAUACGAUCGUAGAGAUCCAUAAUGUUCCAUGUAAAGUAGUCAAAAUAUAAGUAAAUUUAAACUAAAACAAAACAGUAUUUAGACAUUGUGAUCCUUAUUUUAUUAUUUUCACAUGAGUAAUAAAAUAGCCAAUCAUGGAUAUAAUUCAAGUUCAUUAGGAGUAACACAUAAUACUGUAUAACAACUUAAGUUUGUGUAAUGCCUUCAAAUUUGGAACAACGUUCAUUUGAUAUAUAGAGGGCACGGAAACAACUUACAACGUGGGCAAAUAGGUAGUUUCUCAGAUUGUUUCGAUUAAACGUUUCAAAGGAACAUACUUGAAGAAGACAUGUUUUGAUAAGCACACUCAUGCCGUCCGGAUGGAAUAUUGUGAAAAAGCACCUAACAUGGAGAUCACACUAACGGGGAAGAAAAAGGAUAAAGACGAAUGUACUCUGAAGAUUUAUACCAAAAUUGAAGACAUCGAAUCGAAGAAAAUUGUACUGGGACCGGAGCGUACACGUUUACUAAAGCGGGAAGAUAUUCAAAAAGCUGUUACAAAGGAGAUGACCAUGAAAAAUCUCACUGAUAUUUGGGAAAUCUAUGAAGAUUCCGUUAUUAUGUACACCAAAGAAAGAGAUGAUUUUCUAAUGAUGGAGGCUUUAAUUGUUCAUGCAGUGUCCAAAGUUAGAUAAACAUUCUGUAGAAGCCAUUUCUUCCGAGAAAUGGAAGACUGUGGAGAAAGUGUUGAGGUCUAGAUGCACAGACUGCUUAGAGAUCAGGAUUGAUGAUAAGCUUAUGACGUUAUUCAUCUUUACCACGCCAACUAUGGAGGAUAAAGUACAAGAUUCCGUAGAAGAAUUUCGAGGCUGUACAAACACUUUAAGUUGAAUAUAUUUCUCUUAUUCGCAAAUAAUUAUUCGGAAUAGCGAUGUUAGAUCUUUUUUCACCAAGGUUUCCUGCUUUAAUUUAUGCUGCACGAAAAUUAAAAGCAUAUCGAAUUCAGCAUAUUUACUAUUUAGGGCUGGCACACAUUCUGCAAUUUCUAAAUCUUUAUUUCAAAUGCUGGAUAGUUUUUGCGUUUUCAUGGAAGUAUUGUGUUGAUUUUUGUGUGUGAGUUAGUAGCUAAAACGCAAACCCAGCUAAGAAUUGCACAAUUAUUUAGAUUAAAUUAAUUUAGUAAAACUUUAAAAACCUGGUUCAGUGGCAGAGUCUUGUUUACUGUUUCUUGAAAAACACAAUGCUGUGUUCCUUGUGAUAUUAAAUUUACAAAAGUAUCAUUUUGUCUUAAUUAAAAUUGACACCAAACGUGCGGUUUAACUGCAUAUAGUGCGACUGCCAGUUGAUUUUGGUAUUACCACGUUUGUGAAAAUAUUGUACAUUAACGAUUUGGAUAUAUCCAUCUUAAGUCACUUUUAAACUUAAAAAAAGAACAAAAUCACGUGACUUUUAUGUCAAAUUUGAAUGUUAGCUUAGUUGCAUUUUUAUAAAGUGUUUUAAUUAUUGCAUUGGUUUGGAGACUAUUUUGAAAUUUAUUGGAUAUGAAGUGUGUUUUUUUGUAUUAUAUUAUUUGUGUAUAUGUUGUUAUACACUGAAAUGGAAAUGGUCAAAUAAUUUUGAAUAUGUGCAUGGAUUUAUUGUGUACAUUUGUAUGAUCUUAUCAUAAUUUCAGUGAGAGUGCAUUGUGAUUUUGCCUAUAGUUGACUCGUUAAAUUGGACUUAUUUGUUGGAUUCCCAAUUAUGCAAAACAGACCGGAAAGAUACAUUACUUCAAAUAAAAUUCUCUGCAAAAUGAAUUAAAAAUCAUGUGACCUUUGCGUCUAAUUGGUAUAUUCGUUUAGUUGUAUUUAUAUAUAUUGCUUUCGCUUAAAUAUUUUUUUCAAUGUAUUUGGUUCGACAGUUUUUUGUCUGGUAUUACAUCAUGUUUGUACACGUUGUUUUAAAGGGAAAUGGAAAUGGUCAAAUAAUUGUGAAUAUCUACAUGGUUGAUUACCUUACAUCAGUAUGAGUUUCUUGUUUACUCUAACGCUCUUGUACUACUAUUUUUUAGAGAAACUUUAACAUAUGUGGUAAA